rfam:Prunus persica cultivar Lovell chromosome G6, whole genome shotgun sequence.
GCCGAGCUGAGCAACGCAAGCUUGUAACCCAAGUGGGGGCUUUGAGGUGUUGGAACAUUGGUCCAAUAUGGCAGGUCGGGUUCAAUGUUGCUUUAUUCUGGCGUGCCCAUUCCAAGCAAAGAGUUGGGCCAUGUGGCUUGGGCGAAGGCUCUGGGCUUCAUGGUUCCUAGAGUGGAGGGCACUGCGUAAGGCUGGUUUCACAGAGCAAUGAUUACUUCCCGCUCUUGGCAGUGGAAGGAUAACAGGUCGGUGCCACCUGGAUCCACUGUGGCCUGCUAGAUAGUCCCAAUUGAACCAAAACUUUU